UGCCAUUGUCUCCUUCGAAUUGUUUUCACACGUGAGAAUUUAUUGAUCAAUACAAAGUCUUCUUCCGCGUUAUUGUUUCUCUUUCUUCUCCAAUUUUCUCCAGAAACUUAUCUACAUGAAAAUAUAUUUAUUCUGAGAACAAUAAUAAAAUGAGUUUAGAAAUUGCCAAAUACAAAGAAGAAUCAAGAAAAAUUAAAAGAGUAUUAACUUUCGUCGGAAUCUAGACGUGAUGACACGUUAGUUCAAAGAAUGGAACAAGACUACAAGUUAGCUUUGCAUUACCGAUCCCCUCCGCCGCAUCUCUUCCAUCUGUCGAACUCUUUUUGGAGCUCUCAGAUCUCAUCCACAACGACGGUGAUCAUCAAGUCGUUGCCUCUCCUGAUCAGUGCCUCCGAGACCCAAGCUUAUCUCCGCCGCAUCUCUUCGUUUUUUCGAUUUCAGAUAUUGAUGUCCGUUUUCAUGCUCCCAGAUCUCCUAGACACCCUCCGGUAGCCUCGUUGAAGCUCCACUCGUCGCCUUGAUCUUUACUCCGGUGUACCGUGAACCUCAUCAUGUCCAAACUCAGAUCCGUGUCAAGCUUUCAUUCUUUCAGUAUAGGUCCCUUCACUUUAUAUUAUUUUUAGUGUGUCCCUAAAAAUUUUUACUUUGCAAAGUUGCAUUUUAAGUUAGCUCCAAAUUUUUAAUCGUGCAAUUCAACCCUGUUAUAUACAAAUAUUUAUGCAAAUGCAAUAUAAUACAUAAAUGCACACGUAAAUAAUUUAAAUGAACAUAAUUAAGAGGCUUAAACUACUAUAAAUCAUGAGGUAUCAACCAUGAUUAGUUAAGCUUGUGCAUUCGCCUAGUUGAUCUUGGUUCAUCUCUUUCGACCUAAGAACAAGAACAUAAUUGUUUUCAUGCUUUUUAAAUAUUUAAUAAUAAUAUAAAUAUUUUUUUAACUCUAU
rnacentral:lncRNA from 1 species